UUAUUUUGCCCUCUGCAGAUAAGCCUGAUGAAGCUUGGCAUCUCAGAAAUCAGAUCUGGGUACACAGAUUAUUUGGGAUGUGAGUGAAGUCAUUAUAUCUUUUUCCUCUCAACAGAUGCAGCUAGAAGCAGAAAUAGCACAUGCUUAUUUCUCAAACAUCCCUGUGUUUACAGAUUUUUAGAAAUGGGGUUACUACUGCUCAAUACUUGGUGCAACAGCAGCAGCUUUUUAUACCUUUUUAUUGCCUAAUUCAGGAUAUGAUGGCUACAUUUACAAAAUAAAGAUAAUUACAACUGACAGAUUUCAUUAGAAUAUUGCAAGUGGAGUGCUAAAACUCCAUACAGUCUUAAUGCUAAAACUCCAUACAGUCUUUUAUACUGCCUAGAGAUGUAUACAUCAGGCAGUAUAAAAAAAUGACCAGUAAAUAAAUAAAUAAAAUACAGAUGCCUAAAACAAGAGCAUCUUUAAAUUUAAUUAGCUAUCCAGUUGUAUUAGUCCUAAUGAAACCUGGGAAAUACAGGGUAGAAUCCUGCUGAGUCCAUCAGGGAAGGGAGCAGGGAAGCAGGCUGGAUGGCUUUGCUGUACCAAAACCCCCCACUAAACUAAUACAGCCCCCACCUCCAUUUAUCCAUGGUCCCACUACUUGCAGUUCCACAUAUCCACAGCUGUGAAAUAUAUACCCGUCCUCAGUGUUCACAGUAUAGAGUCUGGCGUAUCCGCGGUUUUUGGUGUGUGGGUCCACCCAUAUAUGGUUGUGCUCUUCUUGUUCGUGCUCUGUGGGUAAUGAGAGGAGUUUGGAGGAGGAUGGAGGAGAGAUUUCAUUUGUGAUUUGUGUGUGUGUGUGUGUUUCAUUGUUAAAAAACAAUUUCAAGAGCAUUUGGCAGCCUUGAAUAGCUUUGAGAAAACCAUUGAGAUGAAGCCAUUGAGAGCCUUUAGGUGUCAUUGCUUUCGGCCUUUUUGUGUGUUUCUGUGGAACCUUCACAAGCCUGUGGGAGCCCUCUGGAGCCUUUGAGAACCUUCACAAGCCUUUCGGAGCCUUUCCUCUACCAUUCCUCUUGCAGCACUGUGCAGCCCUGUUGUUUCUGCCGGUUUUUGAGAGCAUCCUAUCUGGUCUUCAUUCCUUUACUAUGACAAGAAAAAAACGUAAUAGAAACUCUCCAACCGAGUCUGUUUUGGAUAUGCAGGUUUUUACCCAGCCUUUGAAUCAGACUAAGAUUGAUUCCUUUUUGAUGGCCUCGUGAAAUUCAGAAUGAGGAAAUGCACUGCGGAGAGCUCUGUUGGGUGGCAAAAGGUCUCACAAAGUGUUGCCCUUGAGCAAGAAGGUGAAGGUACAUGGAACGGAUGGAACAUCUGCACAUUUUGGCUCAUGGGGACAGUGUGGCAUCCAAUGCACGCCAUUACAGCAUCAAUUAGUCCACUGUCCACUCCAUAAAGAAAACCGAAGCCAGUAUCUGUACAAGUGUGGUGUCUGGCACAUGGAACGGAUGGAAAAGGCCUUAAGCCUGUGGACAGAGAAUCAAGCCCAGAUGAACAUGCCACUGAGCAGAUCAGUAAUCCAUGAGAAAGCACUGCAGCUCUACAGGCCAUUUGUGGCAGAAGGCAGGCAAGUGGCGGAAACACCCAAAGGCGCUGUGUGCAUUUUGCAGGCAAGCAAGGGUUAGUUCAAAAGUUUCAAGCACCACUACAGCCUCCACAAUGUAAAGCUGGCAGGGGAAGUAGCACCAGCAGACCACAAGGAAGCACAACAACUUCAAGCAGAGUUCCAGAUGCUGAUUGAGACUGGAGGGUACAGGCCAGAGUAGGUCUCCAGUGCUGAUGAGACAUGUCUGAUCUGGAAGUGGAUGCCAUCCCACUCCAUUGUGUGGCAAUGCUGCAGGGGACUGCAUGGUAACGCCCAUGCUCAUGUACUGAGAACAGAACCCUCGUGCCCUGAAAGGGAAGAAUAAAAACCAACUUACCAGCUUCUGGAGAGCCAACAAAAGGGCAUGGGUGACCAUAGCAGUUUUCUUGGACUGGCUAAACCUCAGCUUCCUGCAUGAGGUGCAGAGAUAUCUGGCCUCCAAGAACCUGGCGUUCAGAGUUCUCCUGUUGACCAACAAUGCCCCUGGCCAUCCUGAGGCCCUGCAGUUUGAACACCCAAACCUGGAGGUCACCUUCUUGCUGUCCAACACCACCUCUUUGAUCCAAGCAAUGGUCUGAUUGUAACCUUCAAGUCCUACUACACUUGCCACACCUUCCAUCUCAUGGAAGCCUAUCCCUCUCUGUUGAUCAAUAAUUGCUGGAAGAGCUACAGCAUCGCAGACUGCAUUGAGAACAUUGUAGCAUCACUUGCAGAGAUCAAGCCUCACACAUGGAAUGCAGUGUGGAAGAAGUUAUGACCUGGGGCAGUCACCUCUUCAUCAACUACAGCCAUUCCCUCUGUAGCCGAUGAAGUGCAGUGGAUUGCCAACCUUGUGCACACCGUUGGUGGAGAAGGCCUGCAAGACAUCCAGCCACAUGAGAUGGAGGAACUUCUACAGUCCCAUCAGGAGGAGCUCACAGAAUUGGAGAUGAUCCAGUCAGCUCCUGAGAGUGAGGGAGAAGAGGAGGAAGAGGAAGAGAUGUUCUCCAAGCCCCUCGUCACAAAGGUGAGCCUACAGCUGGGGAUUGCCUUGGUGGACAAAGUGUUUGAAGUUGAUCCCCUGAUGGAGUGCAGCAUCAAACUCAAAAGCCAGCUGGAGGCUGCUUGGCAACCCUAUAAGGACACUACUGGGCUCUGCAAAGCAAGACCAAGCAAAGCACCAUCACUAGCUACUUUGCAAAGGUUGCUACACACCCACCACCACAGCUGCAGAGUGGUAAUGGCCAUCUUCAUCAGAAAGCAACACCUGCACUUUCCCCGGCUUCGAGGAGGAGGAGGACAAUGGCAGCAGCAGGUCUGCCUCUGCAGGGCCUGCUUCUUCUACGUGAUCUGUGCUCCAAGCAGAACACUGGAGUGCCGCUAACUCCAACAGUGGAGUGAAGUAACCCCACUGGUUUCUAAACUUAAUUUUUGCUGCUGCAGGCCAGAGACUGGAGAGAGAGAUGGAGUGCUGUUCUCUCCAGCAGUGGAGUGAAGAAACUACCCUGUGUGUGUUUACUUGAACUGAAACCAAUUCUGUGCUUCCUCUUUGACCAACCUACCAACCAGUCAGGCCAGGGGUUUGUGCUGACAAGUGUUGGACUUCAACUGUUGGGUGAGGAAACAUCAUGAUGAUUACCCAUUACUGGAGGAGCUGGGAGCUGCUGCUGGAGCACCUGGGGAGUGGGAGAGUGGAGGUAUCCAAAGUACCAUGCUGUGCUCCAUCCGUGUGUGUGUGUCUGUUUGUGUGUCUGUGUGUGUGUGUGUGUGUGUGUUGUUUUUUUGGUCAUUUUUCUGGGCUCUGGAGCCUAUAGGCUCGAUUUUCAUAGACUCAAGGUCUUGUUAUUCAUGGUUUCAUUAUCCAUGGUUGUAGGCAGGAACAGAACCCCGGCAAAUAAAAAGGGUUUCUUUUAUAAUUUA